UGAGGGGGCUGCAGCCUGCGCUGGAACCUGAUACAGAGGGGUGGGAUGAACCAUGGCUGGAGCUGAAGAUGGGUGUGGAGCUGGGCUUACAGGUGAGACUACACAUGGUGACGGAGGAGGAGAGUCUGUAAAAAAAGAUGGGGAUGGAGAGGAGGCAAAAGAGGAUGGGACUGGUGAUGGAAAUAAGAAGGAAGUGGAAGAGAAGGCUGGUGAGCAGGGCUCAGGCUCUAAAAUUGAUGGAGUGCGACACAGGAUGCUAGCAACCUCGUCGUCACUCUGGGUGAGAUCCUCACACGGGAUCUGGUCACCCACCUGGAUUGAGUCAAAGGGGUUUGCCAAUUUGCUGUCACUGAAGGUUAGCAGCUUCUGUAAAUUUUUGGUAAAUGGCCCCUUCUGUUUUUUGUACUUCUUUCUACGGCCUGACCGGCCUCCCGCCGUAUUUCUACGGCGUCUUCUGCCCUGCUGAGCCCUGCUGGUCGCCACCGGGAUGGGAGCAGAUCCAGAUAUGUCUGAAAGGCUGCUGAUGGCUGCACAUUCACAGGAGGGCUGGGGGCAGUCACGAUGACGUGUGAAUCUGUCAUAAACUGCUCUGCUUGGCCACAAUGAAAAGAGAUAUGUUUGCAGGGGAUCAAGUACUCCAGAAAAGUGACUGUAAAGAACAACGCCAAAAAGUAAACAAACGAGAGGCAUAUUACAGUAAAAUGUUGUGCAACUGCCAAGCCAGAGUCACAGAAGAAUAUUCAUCCUGCCUCAUCGCCAU